rnacentral:lncRNA from 1 species
CUUCAAGUUUGUAUUAAACUACAUUGUGUGUAAUUCCUUCUUGUUUUAUUGAUAACCAGAAUACUAAAGCUAAUUUAUUGCUGAUAAGAACCAGAAUACCAAAGCUAAUUUAUUGUAUUUUGAAUUAUAAUUAAGUUGUUGUUCUCCUAGCAAGGAAUGUAGAGAAAAUAGUUUAUCUUCUGUAUUCAUAUUCCCUGUACACAUAGUAGCCAUAUCUAUGAACUGUUCAUUUCCUGGACUGAAUGAAAAAAGGGAGAUGCUCUAUGUCUGGUAUAUUGAGAUCCUUGUCUUGUCAAUUCAAUAAUUAAAAAUACCUGGAAGCUGACUGAUAUGUGGGUGGGUUUGAGUAUUUGAUUCCAUAUUGAGGGGAACUUUUCUUUCUGUUCUUAGUUGAGCUGUUUGCUUCCUGCUUUGGGGAUCUGAGGGGCACGAGUCAUAAAACAAUCUAGUGCUUUCACUGUUUUAUUCAUGAAUUUUACAGGUUUCCUAAGUGAUCUGGAACAUACCUUUUGCACAGAGGGCUUUUAAAUACUGCAGUUAUUAUAGGCCAAUGAUAAUGUGAAUGUGGUUAUGCUAUAGAUCAAACCAUAUAGUGUAUGUGUGUGUAAAUAUAUAGAUACACAUAACCUUAUUUAUAGGUAACUUAAAAAUAACAAGAGGUAAUAUAGUGCUCUUUACAUAUUCUUGUAUCAUGCAGAAAAGCCUGGUUCACAUCAGACAUUUUGUCAUUUUCUGAGCAUACUUGAUUGUCAAUCUGUCAAUGUUUAUGAAGAUAGUAGAGAAGUCUCUUUUGGGUUUGUUCCCAAUACUUUGAAAUGGGCAAGUAUAAAGAAAGCUUGCAGUGGAUACAGGUGGUAAAAGAAUUAGUACAGAACUUGUCCCCAGGUUAAUUCAUAACAAAAUAACAUGAAGUUUGAAAUGGUAUCAGUAUCUGGAUAUUAAUUUUUUGAAGGGCUUGUUUUUAUGAAAGUAUGAACAAUGUAGUUGCUGUUUUUUUGGUGCCUCGUUUUCUUGUUUUAAGAAUGAAGUUCUUAAUGGUUGCUGUGUUCUUUGUUGUGUAAAGAACACGGGAAACCCCUGUGUAUUUUGGAGUUUAGUCAUCAGCUGAAGAGCCAACUCUGCAAUCCUAACUUAGGACUAUCCUAAUAUUUAAAUGUUAUAAAAUCCUUCUUAGUGCUGCUUAGAUUGCUUUUUUGAUCCCUUGAUUUUAUUUUUUUUGAUUCCCAGCAACCAAAAGUAGAUGUUUGUGGAACCCUUAUAAUCUUUGGACUUAUGAAAUAUAAACUUGUAAUGUCAUGCUCUUUCAUACUUGGACCCUGUUUGCAUUUACCCUUUGCUCUCAGCUGGCUGUAUGGAAUGGACUCCCUAGUUGUAAAUUGGCUUGUAUAUACUUGGUGACUUCAUCCGAUCAUUGUAAUGGGUGUGACUUUUUUUUUUGCUUUUGGGUAUGAGGACUCGAACUCAGGACCUUGUGCUUACCAGGUAGCUCAGUGGCACUGUGCAUGCCUGGCAAGCACAAGGUCUGGAGUUUGAUUCCGGUUUGGGGUGGAGGGGCAUGCUGUGAAAGCUGAGAGGCACCUCAGCAGUAAUUCCUUCCCCAACUUCCACAGGUCCCUUCUGUUUUCCAUUUAACAGCUGAUGACUGCAAGUGACAUCUUUGCUUAGACUCUUCUUCAGCAUUCAUUUAUUUUCCCUUACCUCACUUUAUGGAGAACUGUCAGAUUACUCUUAAAAAUAAGUUUUAUGGUAAUACUCCCUUUUUCUCCCUCGAACUAGAGUCCACCUCCUUGGGCUCAUACUGCUGCACUGGCAGUUGGCAUCCUUUCCUUUCUGCAUACUGUCUCAGCAGCCAGUCUCCCAGUGGGCACCUGCUUCAGUUGCUUUUAGUUCUACUUUUGCUGGUUGCAGAAGAUGCUUUGUAUUGUCCUGCCCAUUCUAAAGUCCUGCCUGACCAGCCUAUCCCUGGUAUGUUUUUCUGUUGACUGGUUAGUGUUCUUUUUUUCAUCUGAAGUAGAUUGUGAGAUGUAACAGUCUUCACCAUGCUGUUAGGGAGCCUGCUUAUCUUAAAAUACCUUGUAAUUGUAUCAAUUUGAUUCUUUUUGAAGAAUUUAAAUUUUAAAUCUUUUAAAUUCUUUCAGGGCAAAGAAAGGUUUUUAUUUUUAUUUUUUCCUUAAUAGUAGCUAAUGUAGGCUGUGCAUUUCAGAGUAUGUUCAAGUGGUACCUUUGACUUCAGGAAGUCAAACGGUGCUUAAAAAAAGUCAUGAUGGUGCUUAAACUUUUCUAAAGCCAGAGAAAGAAUGUUGGUUUUCAGAGGUUGGAAGGAAGACUAAUGAUUUGGCCUCGUUUUGGAGAUGGCUAAGUGAUUCAUGUAGUUUAUUCUAUAGUAGUGGAAGUAUUAACAGUGCUUACCAAAGUGCUCAAUAACCCAGAGAAACAUUAAAGAAAACUAUUAGUUUACAUAAUUAUAACUAGGCAAAAAAAAAAACCAGACCCAAAAACUUAAACAAGAAGGAAAGGAGUAAGCCAGGCAUGGUGUUGCACGCCUAUAAUCCCAGCAGUUGAGAGUCUGAGGCAGGAGGAUCAUCUGAGUUCAGGCCAACCUUGGCAACAUAGCGAGACCCUAAACAACAACAAAACAAAACAGAAAAAGGAUUAUAUUACAUUUCUACUGAAGGAGACUUUGUUAAGAGACCAUUUCUAUGGAAGUCAGUAGUAACCAUUUCCCCUGUAGGGUAGAAAAUUUAAGCAGAAAUUUUAUAGCAGAUUUUUUUUGUUUUUGUUUUUGCUUUGUUUGUUUGUUUGUUUUAGACAAAGUCUUGCUAUUAGUUCAGGCCUGCCUUGAAUUCACUGUGUAGCCCAGGCUGGCCUUGAACUCAUGGCAAUUCACCUGCCUCAGCCUCCCAAGUGCUGGGAUUAUGGGCAAGUGCCACUACUCCAGGCUAGCAGAUGUUGAUUUGUAGGUUGUGUGUGUGUGUGUGUGUGAUUGGAAUUAAAUGAAACAAUAAAAGUAACAUUUAGAAAUAAUCUUUUCACAUAAGUUCUGAGUAACUGAUGAAAGACAGUGCAGCAUGUGUUCUUCAUGAGCAGAUACACCAAUAAGCACAAUUUGGUAGAUCAUAUUUUUUUUGGUACCGGGGAUUGAACUCAGGACUUUCAGUUCUUGGGAGGCAGGCGUGGCACUGAGCUAAAUCUCUGUUUUUUUUUUUUGGUACCAGGGAUUGAACUCUGGUCCUUGCCCUUGCGAAGCAGGUGGCGAAACCACUGAGCUAAAUCCCUGGCCCCUGAGCUAAAUCUCUG